GACGUAGGAGGCGAGCGUUGUCCGGAUUCAUUGGGCGUAAAGAGCACGCAGGCGGUUUGGCAAGUCGGAUGUGAAAACCCGAAGCUCAACUUCGGGCCUGCAUCUGAAACUGCCCGACUAGAGGUAGGUAGGGGAGAUCGGAAUUCCUGGUGUAGCGGUGAAAUGCGCAGAUAUCAGGAGGAACACCGGUGGCGAAGGCGGAUCUCUGGGCCUUACCUGACGCUCAGGUGCGAAAGCUAGGGGAGCGAACAGG
rnacentral:rRNA from 1 species